AUUGAACGCUGGCGGCAUGCCUUACACAUGCAAGUCGAACGGCAGCACGGGAGCAAUCCUGGUGGCGAGUGGCGAACGGGUGAGUAAAGUAUCGGAACGUGCCCAGUCGUGGGGGAUAACGUAGCGAAAGCUACGCUAAUACCGCAUACGAUCUAUGGAUGAAAGCGGGGGAUCGCAAGACCUCGCGCGAUUGGAGCGGCCGAUAUCAGAUUAGGUAGUUGGUGGGGUAAAGGCCCACCAAGCCGACGAUCUGUAGCUGGUCUGAGAGGACGACCAGCCACACUGGGACUGAGACACGGCCCAGACUCCUACGGGAGGCAGCAGUUGGGAAUUUUGGACAAUGGGCGCAAGCCUGAUCCAGCAAUGCCGCGUGCAGGAUGAAGGCCUUCGGGUUGUAAACUGCUUUUGUACGGAGCGAAAAGGCUCUCUCUAAUACAGGGGGCUCAUGA
rnacentral:rRNA from 1 species